rnacentral:rRNA from 1 species
AGUGAACGCUGGCGGUAGGCCUAACACAUGCAAGUCGAACGGCAGCACAGUAAGAGCUUGCUCUUACGGGUGGCGAGUGGCGGACGGGUGAGGAAUACAUCGGAAUCUACUUUUUCGUGGGGGAUAACGUAGGGAAACUUACGCUAAUACCGCAUACGACCUACGGGUGAAAGCAGGGGAUCUUCGGACCUUGCGCGAUUGAAUGAGCCGAUGUCGGAUUAGCUAGUUGGCGGGGUAAAGGCCCACCAAGGCGACGAUCCGUAGCUGGUCUGAGAGGAUGAUCAGCCACACUGGAACUGAGACACGGUCCAGACUCCUACGGGAGGCAGCAGUGGGGAAUAUUGGACAAUGGGUGCAAGCCUGAUCCAGCCAUACCGCGUGGGUGAAGAAGGCCUUCGGGUUGUAAAGCCCUUUUGUUGGGAAAGAAAAGCAGCAGGUUAAUACCCCGUUGUUCUGACGGUACCCAAAGAAUAAGCACCGGCUAACUUCGUG